rnacentral:tRNA from 1 species
GGCGGAUGUAGCCAAGUGGUCA